ensembl:lncRNA
AUCAAGAUGGCGACAGUUCUCUGCACUGGUUCUUGUCAGUGCUUCAGGGCUGGGCUCCUGAGUGGGCCAGAUUCCUGUAAGGAGGCUGCUGAAGGCUGGGUGACUCAUGGGGCUGCAGAAGAGGCCAUGGGCUGCAGCCUCCAGGACCAAGGGAGUCAGAGUCCUCCAACACACCAUCACUAUAGUGCUGGCUGGAAGUGGCUGUUCGAGAUGUCUUGUCUGUCUCCUCACUCAAAGAAGGCCUCUUGCUGAUGAUGGACCAAGUCAGACAGGGUUGUGUCCAGCCAAGUCAAGAGCCUCAAAGGCAGUGGCUAUACAUCCUUUUUGUGUGAUGUGAUCUAGUUCUGCACUGUAUUCUGAGAGGGGCUUUCCUUGAGUGCCAUUUGAACCCCUACAAGAAGAUCAUGCGGACUUUUAAUCUCCUUCUGGUGAGUUUCCUGUGGAAGAACAAAACUCACUGCUACAUUUUCUUCCUACUACACCUCCCAACCUGUCCUACACCCUCAAGAACCACAUGUAAGCAAAAAACAUCACAUAAAAAAACACCUCAAGUGUUACAGCACAAAAAAACACCUCAAGUGUUACAGCACAAGUGGGCGUAUACCAGCAAGCACAAUUUUUUUCUUCAACUGAUCAUCACAGUAGGCUUUUCCCAGCACAUAUUUUCAGGGUUUGAUAGGCAGAGCGGUAUGCUCUACAGAAGAGAGGGUGAACUGAGGAUUUCAUUUCAGUUGGUAGCAUCAGAUUUGGAAGCUCUAAAAGGACAAAAGCCCUGGUUCAAGAAGCACACCAUUAGAGCAGUGAUAUGUCUUCACAGUUCUAGGAAGACCUUCAAAAUAUACAUAUGGUACAUUAUUCAGCACAACAGCUUAUUUGCGGGAGUAACAUAUGCCAAGCAAGAUGACAUCAGAUCUUCAGAAUCUAUUACACAUUUCUGAGAUGAUAACCAUGACAGUUCUGAAAAGUGGGAGGAAAAAAACUAAAUAGUUUUGAGCAGAGGGUGGCGGAUGAAUUUGAACAACUGGAAUAGAAAAGAAGAAAAAAGUUUACUUGGUAAAAUGCAGGAAGUGAAGUAGCUUAGAAGGAGAUUCUCAGGGUAUCAGAAAAAGGCAGGCAUCUAGAAUGAGUUGUGGACGCUGUCAUAGAGACUAAGUUAUGUGUUUCACUGCCUUUUCUUCGGGGAAGAGAUAUCAUGUCACAGCAAGCAUAAGCACAAGUAACUUUUUCAAGAACUACCCAUUUGCUAUUAAUAAAGUAUUGGAGUUGCUAUAGAUUUCUGUCAUGAUCUGGCGGUAUAUUGAGUAGGAUACUGUAAGCUCUAUACAAAGUUUUGCAAGUAAUUUAUUUUUUUUUUUGAGGCUUGUUCCCUUAAAAAUGGAUUUGUUCUGUGUUGGUGGUAGUUUGUUCAGUAGCGGUGGUAAUAGCUUCCACUGAAGUUGAUCCAAGUAUAUGCUACAUAGCAUCCUUUCACACACUACUGAGAGUGAAAUAAAGGAAUUGUUCAAGUGUAUGAAGUAACUAUUUAAAUCAGAUUUGAACAUGAGAUGAAAAAUUGUUCUGUAGCCAACUGAAGCGGCAUGAAAAAUUUGCAGAGGUAAAUGGUAAUAGCCUGUGUUCAAAUCUACUCAGUAAAUACAAGUUAACAUC